CUGGCCUGCCUCUUAGAGGUGCAAGCCGCCACACCCAGCUGGAUCAGAUUCACACGAGAGCAGAUUUACUGCAUUGUCCAGAGGCCGGUAUUUGAGAAAGACACCAAGACCCUCAAGGCAUCAGACAUAUGGAAGUACCCCAGAGUAUUUUGGAGUCAUUACUGGCGUUCACCUGAUAUCUUCCCAACAGCGCUAAAUGCAUUAGCUAUUAAUCAAUGUGUAUUAAGCUGGAAUAAAAUAAUGUUCAUGUCACAGCUCAACACACUGUGUCUGUCUAGGGCAAAGGAAAAGAUCACAGAGAGGAAAGGAAAAGGUUUACAGUAUGUACCGAAUGUACAGUUUGUACCUGACAUGCAGUAAAGGGCUUUAUCCUCCAGAGGAAAGGAGGGAUGUCCAGAACAGAAAUUUGAAUGCUGAAGGUGUUCCCCUUGAAAUGAAGCAACUUUGGUUCUUCCAGCAAUUGUCCACCUUGAUGCCUCUCAUUUGAAAGAACCUCCUAUAACAGAGAAAAUGGGCAAUCAAUGAAACAACCCACCCAGAGGGAUUUAUAUGGUGCUGGAGCAUUUUAAAUAUGUCACCUCCUUUGGGAAGUAGUAUUGAAAUGAUUAUAGGGCUUGAUAAAAAGACAAAGCAAUAUCUCUAUUGGUGUCAAGGCUCUUCAUAUUUUACUCAUACAACCUUUCAGCUGUAAUGAAAUGCCAACAGACUCUUAAUAACUUUGCACAUACCAUUCUAACUUGCCCCCAGCCAAAUUGCAGUCUUUAAAGCACAGAGAAUAUAUAAAAAGGUAAAGACAUAUAAGUGUCACUUAGGGCAAGAACUUUCUUCACCCACAAACCUUUUCUUUAUUAAAAAGGGGGAAACAAUGAAAACGUUGAAUCUACAAGAUACCCAAAUGUUUUAUUCAGUGUGUAAAUGACAUUAUUCUUCUAUCACCCAGUCUAAAGCAGGGGUUUUAGCCACCAUAGUCUCUUGCCUCUUGUAGGGUUGUUGGCCACCAAAUGUAGAUUUAUAUCUCCCCACAAAAGCAUAGUUUUUAGUUUCCAUAUCAAUUCGAUAUUUUGAAAAAUGUAGGCUAAGCUUGUUAUUUGUAUAAUCUUAAUCCUAGAAUCAUGAACUGGUGUUGCCAUACAUUGUAUCGGUUCAAUAGUCCAUAGGCAAUUCUAUUUUGAUGAGUACAUGGUGCUGUUCUGCUGGUGGUUAUGGAAAGACCUCAGCAAUGGAAAGUAAUGGCAGUAUAUGUGCAGUACAUUUCGUCUUUUUUUCUUUUUAAGUCACUAAAUGGAAAGGUUCUUUGUGGAAUGCAGCGGAAGUAAGUUUAUAACUGUUAUAUAACAUGAUUAAAUUGCUCAGGCCUUGAAGCAUUAUUUAAAUAAAAAAAUGAAUUAAAGAUUUUAUCUUCAGAAUUAAUAAAAGUGAAACUGACCUAUUAAGAGGUUGAUGAAGAAUAAUGAUGCCGGGCCAGCUCUUUUCUGAACACACAUGCUUUAUCUCCUUGCUACAUGUUUUAUUUCCAUAUUUCCUUAUAUAAAAUUAAAUAAACCCAGACACUCCAUAUGACUCAAAAGGCCAUACAGGUGGUAAAGUUCCCACUGGGGGCUGUGUCAAUAGACACAUUAGUUCUGCACGUAAAGAGUCAAGGACAGAUGUUAUUUUGUCACCAAUAGAAAUGUGAGCAACAUUAUCACCAUUAGUGGGGAUGAAAUGUUCAAUUUACCCUAUUAGUCCUAUUCAAUAGCAUUUGCAGUAUGAGGUAUUAGCUAAAAGAAGACAGGAGUAAUGAGCACCUUGAAAACAAAAGCUCACUAUGGAAUUACCCUGUAAUUCUGUUGACUUCCUCAAGCCUUACAAGUUCAAUCUAGGGACAGCCUCCUGCAAUGGCAUAAAUGACCGGGAUAGAGAGCAGGAGUGACAAGCGGUGCUGUUGAGUGGAUGGCAGAGGGUGGCAUGUGCAGGACUCAAGGGCCCAAAUUUUGGGUAGGCAGACAGAAGUAUGUGCCUAUUGCCCCCUACCAUUGUACCCUAGGCCCAUGCCUCUUCUUCCUGCCCUUAGUUCUGACCCUGACAGAGGCAGAUUUUA